rnacentral:rRNA from 1 species
UACAGAGGUCCCGAGCGUUGUCCGGAUUUAUUGGGCGUAAAGAGCGUGUAGGCGGCCUUACAGGUCAGCUGUGAAAACUCGAGGCUCAACCUCGAGAGGUCGGUUGAAACCGUAAGGCUAGAGUCCGGAAGAGGAGAGUGGAAUUCCCGGUGUGAGCGGUGAAAUGCGCAGAUAUCGGGAAGAACACCCGUGGCGAAGGCGGCUCUCUGGGACGGUACUGACGCUGAGACGCGAAAGCGUGGGGAGCAAACAGG